rnacentral:rRNA from 1 species
GAUGAACGCUGGCGGCGUGCUUAACACAUGCAAGUCGAGCGAACAGACGAGGAGCUUGCUGCUCUGACGUUAGCGGCGGACGGGUGAGUCACACGUGGAUAACCUACCUAUAAGACUGGGAUAACUACGGGAAACUGGAGACAAUACCGGAUAAUAUAUUGAACCGCAUGGUUCUAUAGUGAUAGCCGGUUUUGCUGUCUCUAAUAGAUGGAUCCGAGCUGCUUUAGCUAGUUGGUAAGGUAACGGCUUACCAAGGCAACGAUGCGUGGACGACCUGCGAGGGUGAUCGGCCACACGGGAACUGAGACACGGUCCAGACUCCUACGGGAGGCAGCGGUAGGGAAUCUGCCGAAAUGGGCGAAAGCUGGACGAAGCAACGCGGGGGUGGUGAUGAAGGUCUUCGGUUCGUAAGACUCUGUUAUGGGGGAAAAACAAAUGUGUAAGUUACUAUGCUCGUCUGAACGGAACCGAAGCAGAAAGCCACGGCAAACUACUG